rnacentral:rRNA from 1 species
CGAGGACGAACGCUGGCGGCGUGCCUAAUACAUGCAAGUCGAACGGUCUUUCUAUGGAAGCUUGCUUCCACUGAGAAGAUAGUGGCGAACGGGUGAGUAACACGUGGGUAACCUGCCCAUAAGAGGGGGGAUAACAUCCGGAAACGGGUGCUAAUACCGCAUAGUUUUCUUGAUCGCAUGAUCGGGAAAGGAAAGACGGCCUUUGUGCUGUCGCUUAUGGAUGGACCCGCGGCGUAUUAGUUAGUUGGUGAGGUAACGGCUCACCAAGACGAUGAUACGUAGCCGACCUGAGAGGGUGAUCGGCCACAUUGGGACUGAGACACGGCCCAAACUCCUACGGGAGGCAGCAGUAGGGAAUCUUCCGCAAUGGACGAAAGUCUGACGGAGCAACGCCGCGUGAGUGAAGAAAGGGUUUUCGGAUCGUAAAACUCUGUUGUCAGAGAAGAACAAGUUGGAGAGUAACUGCUCCAGCCUUGACGGUAUCUGACCAGAAAGCCACGGCUAACUACGUGCCAGCAGCCGC